AAGGCUAUGAGCAAAUGAGGUGUGAAGUGAAGGAUGGAAUUCCAGAGAUGACAUGUCAAAGCGAAAGAAGCUCCUGAAAAGUGAACGGCUAGUGCUGAAAGUUAAGACGAACUGUAUCGAGGCUAUAAAUUGAGGAGUGGCAUUUAAACACCAUGUUCAUCGCUUGCCAUGAGUCGUGCUGCAAAAGGCACUAGAUGAUCCCCUCGAGAAUGAUGUCACAUGCAAACAACUUGGUCAAGGACUGUAAUUGUAAUUAAUUGCUGUGCUAUAAGGCCAAAGGAGAGCGAUGACUGGUUGGAAAGGAGCUACCCCCGCCCUGGUCUGCAGGUUGAUUAUCUACUUUUGAAUGAUUCUACAGUGGUUUUCUGCCAAUGGCUCCAUCAAGUGACGAUUUCCCCAAUUGUUUCCUGAUUGUUGAGAAGGUUGAAGGUAUUUUUCUUUUAAAACAAAAAUCCGGGAAGGAACUGCAAGUUUCCAUUACUUUCCACAUAUUGAUGGAAAUUAAAUUGGUUCCACAGAAAAACUUCUGUUUACGAGUGUUUCAAAUUGGGGGACCACCUGCAACUUUUAUUUUUAUUUCUUUAUAUAGGAGCACGCAUGUGCCAUCCUUAUCCAAGAUUCCAAACUGACAUAUGAGAAGGAUUAUAUGGCACACUAUGAAGAUCUCAGUUUUUUGAAGUACUUAUUAUAAAACAACCAUCUAAGGUCCUAUCUUCAUGCAUCUACACCACAUUGUGCUUGCGCAUGUUCUCUAUGCCUCAUUCUAUUGUACAGCCAUUACUUUGCUGAAGCUUACCUGUGGUAUGGCUAUCAUUUAUCAAUCACCCCUUGAAGACUAACAAUCUCUGUUUGAGGAACUCUAUUCGGGAACACUGACAUGAUUAUGAUUGUUUCAUGCACAAACAGAGAAUCCU